GUGUCCAGGCACUGCACUAAAUGUCAUAAUCGCCAGCAUCACCUCUGUGAAUGCUCACAACAAGGCAGGCAAUGAAGAGUGAUUCUUUUCAUCAUGCAGCAAAUGUUUCUGAGGAUCUACUUGAUCCGAAGCACCUU